rnacentral:ncRNA from 1 species
AAAAUUGGUAUGGACAAGGGGAACCCGACUAUUUAAUUAAAACAAAGCAUUGCAAUGGUCCCUACGAAUGAUGACACAAUGUGAUUUAUGCCCAGUGCUCUACAUGUCAAAGUGAAAACAUUAAACCAAGCGUGGGUAAACGUAGGGAGUAACUAUGAAUCUCUUAAUGUAGCUAGAUGCCUCAUCAUCUAAUUAGUGAUGCACAUGAAUGGAUUAAUGAUAUUCCCACUAUCCCUGGCUACUAUCUAGAGAAACCAUAGCUAAGGGAAUGAGCUCGGAAGAAUUAGCAAGGAAAGAAAACCAUGUUGAGCUUGACUCUAGUCCGACUUUGUGAAAUGAUUUGAGAGGUGUAGAAUAAGUGGGAGCCAUUUUUCAGUGCAAGUGAAAUACCACUACUUUUUCUUUUAUUUUACUUAUUCCGUGGGGAGGAUAUGAGGCAUUGCACAUAUGUUAAAAUAUAAUACACAUUUCCUCAAAGUGUUGUCAUUGAUGGCAAUGGUUGAGAGCUCAUUCUUCACACACUUGAUGGAAAUGAGUUUAGGAAACCAAAGAAGAUCAUUGAUUUUAAGGACGAAGAACAUUCCUACAAUCCCUAUGU